UACGUAGGGUGCGAGCGUUAAUCGGAAUUACUGGGCGUAAAGCGUGCGCAGGCGGUUCGUUGUGUCGGUGGUGAAAGCCCCGGGCUUAACCUGGGAAUGGCCAUGGAAACUGGCGAACUGGAGUGUGGCAGAGGGGGUGGAAUUCCGCGUGUAGCAGUGAAAUGCGUAGAGAUGCGGAGGAACACCGAUGGCGAAGGCAGCCCCCUGGGCUAGCACUGACGCUCAGGCACGAAAGCGUGGGAGCAAACAGG
rnacentral:rRNA from 1 species